rnacentral:rRNA from 1 species
UGGGGAAUAUUGCACAAUGGAGGGAACUCUGAUGCAGCGACGCCGCGUGAGUGAUGAAGGAAUUCGUUUCGUAAAACUCUGUUCUAUGGGAAGAAAAGGACUUUACCAUAGGAGAAAGCCCCGGCUAAAUACGUGCCAGCAGCCGCGGUAAUACGUAUGGAGCGAGCGUUUUCCGGAAUUAUUGGGCGUAAAGGGUGCGCAGGCGGCUUUACAAGUUGGAUGUGAAAUAUUGUGGCUCAAACACAAACGUGGAUCCAAAACUGCAAAGCGUGAGUUAAGGAGAGGUAAGGGGAAUUCCUGGUGUAGCGGUGGAAUGCGUAGAUAUCAGGAGGAAUACCGGUGGCGAAGGCGACUUACUGGACUUAAACUGACGCUCAGGCACGAAAGCGUGGGGAGCAAACAGG